rnacentral:rRNA from 1 species
UACAGAGGGUGCAAGCGUUAAUCGGAAUUACUGGGCGUAAAGCGUGCGUAGACGGUUAAGUAAGUCAGGUGUGAAAGCCCCGGGCUCAACCUGGGAAUUGCAUUUGAGACUGCCUAGCUAGGGUGCGGAAGAGGGAAGCGGAAUUUCCGGUGUAGCGGUGAAAUGCGUAGAUAUCGGAAGGAACAUCAGUGGCGAAAGCGGCUUCCUGGACCAGUACCGACGUUCAGGCACGAAAGCGUGGGGAGCAAACAGG